rnacentral:rRNA from 1 species
GACGUAGGGCGCGAGCGCUGUCCGGAUUUAUUGGGCGUAAAGAGCUCGUAGGCGGCUUGUCGCGUCGUCCGUGAAAACCUGCAGCUCAACUGCAGGCUUGCGGUCGAUACGGGCAGGCUGGAGUUCGGUAGGGGAGACUGGAAUUCCUGGUGUAGCGGUGAAAUGCGCAGAUAUCAGGAGGAACACCGGUGGCGAAGGCGGGUCUCUGGGCCGAUACUGACGCUGAGGCGCGAAAGCUAGGGGAGCGAACAGG